rnacentral:rRNA from 3 species
UUGACCUCGAAUCAGGUAGGAAUACCCGCUGAACUUAAGCAUAUCAAUAAGCGGAGGAAAAGAAACCAACAGGGAUUGCCCCAGUAACGGCGAGUGAAGCGGCAACAGCUCAAAUUUGAAAUCUGGCUCUCGGGCCCGAGUUGUAAUUUGUAGAGGAUGCUUUUGGUGAGGUGCCUUCCGAGUUCCCUGGAACGGGACGCCAUAGAGGGUGAGAGCCCCGUCUGGUUGGACACCGAUCCUCUGUAAAGCUCCUUCGACGAGUCGAGUAGUUUGGGAAUGCUGCUCUAAAUGGGAGGUAUAUGUCUUCUAAAGCUAAA